rnacentral:lncRNA from 1 species
CUCUCCCAUUUGGUCAGGUUUCCCGAAUUCCCCCUAUGUGCAAUUUUGUGCACAAAUGUGCAAUGACUUUGCAAAACAUUUUGCAAAAUUUUUUUGCAAAAUUUCGCUUAUCUUAUAAUAGAAAAAAACAGUAUAUGCACUUGCCCUUUUACGAACUUACCCACUCCACCUUAUUAUAUUAUUUAUAUCAGGUAUGUACAGUAUUAUUUUUUAGUUUAAAAAUUAUAUUAUUUCGUCUGUAUGUCUGUUCGCCAUAUAUUUAAAAAAGUAUGAAAGAUGGCAGUGGCGGAUUUAGCAUUUGAGAGGCCCCAGGAAUUCAGUUUUGAGGCCCCCCUCUAAAUAUUUUCACUACAUCUACAUCCUACAGUGUGAAUUCUAU